rnacentral:rRNA from 1 species
GCCUAACACAUGCAAGUCGUACGCCCAGCAAGGCGAGUGGCAAACGGCUGACUCACACGUGGAACGGUACCCUUACCUUCGGAACGACACUGGCAGAAUAGCGGUAAUACCGGAUACGCGCGAGUGCGGAAAGGUUUACCGCCCACGGAUCGGCCCGCGUGGAUUAGCGUAGCUGUGUAGGUAACGGCUCACCAAGGCGACGAUCAGUAGCUCGUCUGAGAGGAUGAUCAGCCACACUCCGGACUGAGACAAGGCCCAAACUCCUACGGGAGGCAGCAGUGGGGAAUAAUGGACAAUGGGCGCAGGCGUGAUCCUAGCCAUCCUCGCGUGAGUGAUGACGGCCCUAGGGUUGUAAAGCUCUUUUACAUGGGAAGAUAAUGCCGGUAUACAGCAGAAUAAGCCCCGGCUUACUUCGUGCCACCAGCCGCGGUUAUAAU